rnacentral:rRNA from 1 species
UACGUAGGGGGCAAGCGUUGUCCGGAAUCAUUGGGCGUAAAGAGCGUGUAGGCGGCCAGAUAAGUCCGCUGUGAAAUCUCGAGGCUCAACUUCGAGCUGUCGGUGGAAACUGUCUGGCUAGAGUCCGGAAGAGGAGAAUGGAAUUCCUGGUGUAGCGGUGAAAUGCGCAGACAUCAGGAAGAACACCCGUGGCGAAGGCGGUUCUCUGGGACGGUACUGACGCUGAGACGCGAAAGCGUGGGGAGCGAACAGG